AAUCAACGCUGGCGGCGUGCCUAACACAUGCAAGUCGAGCGAGAAAAGGGGAGCAAUCCUCUGAGUAAAGCGGCGCACGGGUGAGUAACACGUGGGUAAUCUGCCCUGGAGUGGGGAAUAACACCGGGAAACCGGUGCUAAUACCGCAUACGAUCACAGAGUCUGCGGAUUUUGUGAUGAAAGGAGCAAUUCGCUCUUGGAGGAGCCCGCGGCUGAUUAGCUAGUUGGUGAGGUAACGGCUCACCAAGGCAACGAUCAGUAUCCGGUCUGAGAGGCCGGCCGGACACACUGGAACUGAGACACGGUCCAGACUCCUACGGGAGGCAGCAGUGGGGAAUUUUGGACAAUGGGGGCAACCCUGAUCCAGCCAUGCCGCGUGAGUGAAGAAGGCCUUCGGGUUGUAAAGCUCUUUCGGCCGGGAAGAAAUCGCACGGGCUAAUACCCUGUGUGGAUGACGGUACCGGAAUAAGAAGCACCGGCUAACUACGUGCCAGC
rnacentral:rRNA from 1 species